rnacentral:rRNA from 1 species
AACCUACCUAUAAGACUGGGAUAACUACGGGAAACCGGAGCUAAUACCGGAUAAUAUUUUGAACCGAAUGGUUCAAAAGUGAAAGACGGUCUUGCUGUCACUUAUAGAUGGAUCCGCGAUGCAUUAGCUAGUUGGUAAGGUAACGGCUUACCAAGGCAACUAUGCAUACCCGACCUGAGAGGGUGAUCGGCCACACUGGAACUGAGACACGGACCAGACUCCUACGGGAGGCACCAGAAGGGAAUCUUCCGC